UACGUAGGUGGCAAGCGUUGUCCGGAUCUAUUGGGUUUAAAGGGUGCGUAGGCGGCUUUGUAAGUCAGUGGUGAAAUAUGGCAGCUCAACUGUCAGGGUGCCAUUGAUACUGCGGAGCUUGAGUACAGAUGAGGUAGGCGGAAUUGACGGUGUAGCGGUGAAAUGCUUAGAUAUCGUCAAGAACACCGAUAGCGAAGGCAGCUUACUGGGCUGUAACUGACGCUGAGGCACGAAAGUGUGGGGAUCAAACAGG
rnacentral:rRNA from 1 species